GAUGAACGCUGGCGGCGUGCCUAAUACAUGUAAGUCGAGCGAACAGUUUAAGAGAUUGCUCCUCUGUCGUUAGCGGCGGACGGGUGAGUAACACGAGGAUAACCUACCUACACGACUGGGAUUACUUCGACAAACCGGCGCUAAUACCACAUAAUAUAUUGAACCGCAGGGUUCAAUGGUGAAAGACGGUUUUGCUGUCACAUAUAGAUGGAUCCGCGCCGCAUUAGCUAGUUGGUAAGGUAACGGCUUACCAAGGCAACGAUGCGUAGCCGACCGGAGAGGGGGCUCGGCCCCACUGCAACGAGGACUCGCCCCAGACUCCUACGGGAGGCAGCAGCAGGGAAUUUUCAGCAAUGCGCGAAGGCCUGCAAGAGGAACGCGGCGUGCGGGAUGAGGCGCCCCGCAUCGUAACACUCUCUUAUUAGGGACGACCAAAUCUGUAAGUACAUUUGCCCGUCUUGACGGUACCUAAUCAGAAAGCCACGGCUAACUACGUG
rnacentral:rRNA from 1 species